rnacentral:rRNA from 1 species
UGGGGAAUAUUGGACAAUGGGGGCAACCCUGAUCCAGCCAUGCCGCGUGAGUGAUGAAGGCCUUAGGGUUGUAAAGCUCUUUUGGCAGGGACGAUAAUGACGGUACCUGCAGAAUAAGCCCCGGCUAACUUCGUGCCAGCGGCCGCGGUAAUACGAAGGGGGCUAGCGUUGUUCGGAAUUACUGGGCGUAAAGCGCGCGUAGGCGGACUGGUCAGUUGGGGGUGAAAUCCCGGGGCUCAACCUCGGAACUGCCUUCAAUACUGCCAGUCUCGAGUCCGGGAGAGGUGAGUGGAAUUCCUAGUGUAGAGGUGAAAUUCGUAGAUAUUGGGUGGAACACCGGUGGCGAAAGCGGCUCCCUGGUCCGGACCUGACGCUGAGGCGCGAAAGCGUGGGGAGCGAACAGGAUUAGAUACCCGCGUAGUCC